UACGGAGGAUGCAAGCGUUAUCCAGAUUCAUUGGAUUUAAAGGGUGCGUAGGCGGGCUAUUAAGUCAGUGGUGAAAUCCUGCAGCUUAACUGCAGAACUGCCGUUGAUACUGAUAGUCUUGAGUUUGGUUAAGGUAGGCGGAAUGUGUAAUGUAGCGGUGAAAUGCUUAGAUAUUACACAGAACACCAAUUGCGUAGGCAGCUUACUGAGCCGACACUGACACUGAGGCACGAAAGCGUGGGGAUCAAA
rnacentral:rRNA from 1 species